AGUGAACGCUGGCGGUAGGCCUAACACAUGCAAGUCGAACGGCAGCACAGUAAGAGCUUGCUCUUACGGGUGGCGAGUGGCGGACGGGUGAGGAAUACAUCGGAAUCUACUUUUUCGUGGGGGAUAACGUAGGGAAACUUACGCUAAUACCGCAUACGACCUACGGGUGAAAGCAGGGGAUCUUCGGACCUUGCGCGAUUGAAUGAGCCGAUGUCGGAUUAGCUAGUUGGCGGGGUAAAGGCCCACCAAGGCGACGAUCCGUAGCUGGUCUGAGAGGAUGAUCAGCCACACUGGAACUGAGACACGGUCCAGACUCCUACGGGAGGCAGCAGUGGGGAAUAUUGGACAAUGGGCGCAAGCCCGAUCCAGCCAUACCGCGUGGGUGAAGAAGGCCUUCGGGUUGUAAAGCCCUUUUGUUGGGAAAGAAAAGCAGCAGGUUAAUACCCCGCUGUUCUGACGGUACCCAAAGAAUAAGCAUCGGCUAACUUCGUG
rnacentral:rRNA from 1 species